GGGCAAUGGGCAGGGUGCUUAGGGUUGACUGCAGAAAGCAGGUUCCUGCUUCCGCUGGAUCUCAAAGGGCAGGGCUGAGCCUUGAGAGGCACUCCGGACACAAUUAAGAGCUCCAACCAGGCCUGAACACAAGUAGAAUCGCUUAUUCAUCAGAAGCCAUCCAGGUUGCACACAGUUCUGUCAACUCAGACCCUCACAGGGUUUCAUGUACCCAAGGAUGACCUUGAACUUCUGGCUCUCCUACCUUCAUCUUCUGAAUGCCGAGGAUCAACUCUGGGCUUUGUGAAUGCUAGGAAAGCACUCUACCAACUGAGCUACAUCCCCAGCACCCCCCCAAAAGGCUAUUUUUAAUUUGUAAACUUGGAUGUAAACUAGCUUUUCAACAAUCG